rnacentral:rRNA from 1 species
UACUCUACGCGAGGCAGCGGUGCAGAAUAUUGGACAAUGGUCGCAAGCAUGAUCCAGCCAUGCCGCGUGAGUGAUGACGGCUUAGGGUUGUAAAGCUCUUUUGUCCGGGAAGAUAAUGACUGUACCUGAAGAUAAGCCCCGGCUAACUUCGUGCCAGCAGCCGCGGUAAUAC